ACAAAAAAUACACCAUCAUUGGGAAAACUGCUGGUGAGAAAAGCUCAUAUCGUUGUGAACCUGUAAAAAAAUAUUAGUUAUUUGUCUGGAGGACAUCACGUUCCAAGUUUUUCUUGAUCUAUGGCCAAAUUGAUAGCAAACGGUGCUCAGUAUACUACAAUCAAUAUUUUGGCUUCGUUCUGACAGAACUACUAAGUAAAAAUGCACUUGUAAAAAAAUGAUAUCUCGUAUAUACUUGAUGAUACAUUCAUAGAAAUGACAUUUGGAUGCACAAUAUAUACAUACAAUCGUUCAAUUUUCAUUCCUCUUCUUUAGAAUCUUUAUUUCCAUUAUCAUAAUCUACUUUAUCGUUUAGAUUUUAAUUGUUUAAAUAUUUCACAACUAUCAAAUAUCAGUCUUAAUUUUUUUUCAAAAUGUUUGUAUACGAUUUAUUCUAUAUUAUAUACUACGUACACUGAAAAAAAUCCUCCGGUAAAAUCUUCGAAUGCAUUAUCAAAACAC